UGGGGAAUUUUGCACAAUGGAGGAAACUCUGAUGCAGCGACGCCGCGUGAGUGAUGAAGAUCUUCGGAUUGUAAAACUCUGUCCUUAGUGAAGAUAAUGACAGUAACUAAGAAGCAAGCCCUGGCUAAAUACGUGCCAGCAGCCGCGGUAAUACGUAUGGGGCAAGCGUUGUCCGGAAUUAUUGGGCGUAAAGGGUACGUAGGCGGUUUAAUAAGUCCUAAUUAAAAGGCUAUGGCUCAACCAUAGUAUGGUUAGGAAACUGAUGAACUUGAGUAGAUGAGGGGAAAGUGGAAUUCCAUGUGUAGCGGUGAAAUGCGUAGAUAUAUGGAGGAACACCAAUGGCGAAGGCAACUUUCUGGAAUCAAACUGACGCUGAGGUACGAAGGCGUGGGGAGCAAACAGG
rnacentral:rRNA from 1 species